rnacentral:rRNA from 1 species
GCUUGUCUCAAAGAUUAAGCCAUGCAUGUCUAAGUAUAACUCUUUUACUUUGAAAACUGCGAACGGCUCAUUAUAUCAGUUAUAGUUUAUUUGAUGGUACUUACUUACUCGGAUAACCGUAGUAAUUCUAGAGCUAAUACGUGCGUAAAUCCCGACUUCUGGAAGGGACGUAUUUAUUAGAUAAAAGGCCGACCGGGCUCUGCCCGACUCGCGGUGAAUCAUGAUAACUUCACGAAUCGCACGGCCUCGUGCCGGCGAUGUUUCAUUCAAAUUUCUGCCCUAUCAACUUUUGAUGGUAGGAUAGAGGCCUACCAUGGUGGUAACGGGUGACGGAGGAUUAGGGUUCGAUUCCGGAGAGGGAGCCUGAGAAACGGCUACCACAUCCAAGGAAGGCAGCAGG